rnacentral:lncRNA from 1 species
GGAAAAUUACUGGCGUGAUGUCAUAUGGCUCUUGCGACAAAGAAAAAUUCCUCUCUUUUCAUAAUAUAGGCUUUGUUAUAUUAUAUUUGUUGGAGAAAGAAGAUCAUAAAAAAUCUAAAAAAGAAUUCAUGAUCAUAUUUUGAAAUAAUAUAAGAUUUGUUAAAAUCACAAAGCACUAGAAAUCAAGAAGUUAGUAGACAUGCCUGUACUAGAAAUGUGCAAGGCACUGCUC